GCUGGUUUGGCUUAGUGGUUAGAGCAUUGGUCUGCAGACCCAAGGGUCUCAGGUUCGAUUCCCAGUCAGGG
rnacentral:tRNA from 1 species